UACAGAGGGUGCAAGCGUUAAUCGGAAUUACUGGGCGUAAAGCGUGCGCAGGCGGCUUUGCAAGACAGACUGUGAAACUCCCGGGCUCAACCUGGGAACUGCAUUUGUGACUGCAAGGCUAGAGUACGGCAGAGGGGGAUGGAAUUCCGCGUGUAGCAGUGAAAUGCGUAGAUAUGCGGAGGAACACCAAUGGCGAAGGCAAUCCCCUGGGCCUGUACUGACGCUCG
rnacentral:rRNA from 1 species